rnacentral:rRNA from 1 species
GAUGAACGCUGGCGGCGUGCCUAAUACAUGCAAGUCGAGCGAACAGACGAGGAGCUUGCUCCUCUGACGUUAGCGGCGGACGGGUGAGUAACACGUGGAUAACCUACCUAUAAGACUGGGAUAACUUCGGGAAACCGGAGCUAAUACCGGAUAAUAUAUUGAACCGCAUGGUUCAAUAGUGAAAGACGGUUUUGCUGUCACUUAUAGAUGGAUCCGCGCCGCAUUAGCUAGUUGGUAAGGUAACGGCUUACCAAGGCAACGAUGCGUAGCCGACCUGAGAGGGUGAUCGGCCACACUGGAACUGAGACACGGUCCAGACUCCUACGGGGGGGAGCAGUAGGGAAUCUUCCGCAAUGGGCGAAAGCCUGACGGAGCAACGCCGCGUGAGUGAUGAAGGUCUUCGGAUCGUAAAACUCUGUUAUUAGGGAAGAACAAAUGUGUAAGUAACUAUGCACGUCUUGACGGUACCUAAUCAGAAAGCCACGGCUAACUACGUG